AUUGAACGCUGGCGGCAUGCCUUACACAUGCAAGUCGAACGGCAGCACGGGUGCUUGCACCUGGUGGCGAGUGGCGAACGGGUGAGUAAUACAUCGGAACGUACCUUAUCGUGGGGGAUAACGCAGCGAAAGCUGUGCUAAUACCGCAUACGCCCUGAGGGGGAAAGCGGGGGAUCGCAAGACCUCGCGCGAUCAGAGCGGCCGAUGCCUGAUUAGCUUGUUGGUGGGGUAAAAGCCCACCAAGGCGACGAUCAGUAGCUGGUCUGAGAGGACGAGCAGCCACACUGGGACUGAGACACGGCCCAGACUCCUACGGGAGGCAGCAGUGGGGAAUUUUGGACAAUGGGGGCAACCCUGAUCCAGCAAUGCCGCGUGAGUGAAGAAGGCCUUCGGGUUGUAAAGCUCUUUUGUCAGGGAAGAAACACCGGCUCUAACACAGUCCGGGAAUGACGGUACCUGAAGAAUAAGCACCGGCUAACUACGUGCCAGCCGCCGCAGUAA
rnacentral:rRNA from 1 species